rnacentral:ncRNA from 1 species
AGACGGUGCUCUGCUUCAAAGGAGCUAAGAGGGAAUCCGGUGAAAAUCCGGAGCUGUGCCCGCAACUGUAAGCUGGGAGAUACCGGCCACGAGGCCACCAGGACGUUGGUUCCUGGGAAGGCGGCCGAUAUUGCUGAUCAGCCAGCCAGGAAACCUGCCGCCGC